CAGUCGCCGCGGGAAUACGGAGGGUGCAAGCGUUAAUCGGAAUUACUGGGCGUAAAGCGCACGCAGGCGGUUUGUUAAGUCAGAUAUGAAAUCCCCGAGCUUAACUUGGGAACUGCAUUUGAAACUGGCAAGCUAGAGUCUUGUAGAGGGGGGUAGAAUUCCAGGUGUAGCGGUGAAAUGCGUAGAGAUCUGGAGGAAUACCGGUGGCGAAGGCGGCCCCCUGGACAAAGACUGACGCUCAGGUGCGAAAGCGUAGGGAGCAAACAGGAUUAGAUACCCCGGUAGUCCCUGUCUCUUAUAC
rnacentral:rRNA from 1 species